GACGAACGCUGGCGGCGUGCUUAACACAUGCAAGUCGAACGGAAAGGCCCUGCUUUUGUGGGGUGCUCGAGUGGCGAACGGGUGAGUAACACGUGAGUAACCUGCCCUUGACUUUGGGAUAACUUCAGGAAACUGGGGCUAAUACCGGAUAGGAGCUCCUGCUGCAUGGUGGGGGUUGGAAAGUUUCGGCGGUUGGGGAUGGACUCGCGGCUUAUCAGCUUGUUGGUGGGGUAGUGGCUUACCAAGGCUUUGACGGGUAGCCGGCCUGAGAGGGUGACCGGCCACAUUGGGACUGAGAUACGGCGCAGACUCCUACGGGAGGCAGCAGGGGGGAAUAUUGUACAAUGGGCGGAAGCCUGAUGCAGCAGCGCCGCGUGCGUGAUGACGUGCUUCGGGUUGUAAACCGCUUUCGCCUGUGACGAAGCGUGAGUGACGGUAAUGGGUAAAGAAGCACCGGCUAACUACGUG
rnacentral:rRNA from 1 species